CGUCGAAUCCGCGUGAUGUGAUUGGACAGCCUCGAGAGAGAGGCGGGUCCUACUCCUGACGUCCUUCAAGCUCAUUUGCUCACUUUCCCAUCAAGCAAAAUGAGUAGGAUUUCAUACACUUACGUAGAGCCCGUCAUAAAGACUCUUUGACGUCACGCGUUACCUAGUACCACAAAAAAGACAGGCUAUUCAUGGAGAAACCGGUCUCAGAUGAAGAAAUUUUGACAUUGGCGAGUGCUAUGACUUAACGUGGAGUUCAGAGGCGGGUUUGCACAACCAACAGAUGUUCUGUGAUGUCAGCUGCAGUGAGGGGGAGGCGAAAAAAUGGGAACGCUAAAAAGAAGUAGGAGGAAGGUGUCAGAACUCUAAUCACCAUGCAGCACUCAGAGAGAAAUCUAUUGUAUCUCUUAGCACAAACACUGGCUUUGAGUCACAGUUACAACGCCAGCUCGCUGAUCCAGAGAAGCUAAAUUACACAGGCUGUCAUCCAAACCAACAUACAGCUCCAUUCGGGUGCGCAAUAAAUUAUGUAAAAGAGCCUAACAGCAAGAAAAUGACCGUGCCAUUUGCUGUCACUUCAGACAAUUUGUAUUAUGACAUUUCACGAACGCUUGGCCAAUUGCACUAGAUCUAUUGCACAAACUAAAUAAUAGUUUCUCUGG